GGAUGCGAUCAUACCAGCACUAAAGCACCGGAUCCCAUCAGAACUCCGAAGUUGAGCGUGCUUGGGCGAGAGUAGUACUAGGAUGGGUGACCUCCUGGGAAGUCCUCGUGUUGCAUUCCC
rnacentral:rRNA from 1 species